GAUGAACGCUGGCGGCGUGCCUAAUACAUGCAAGUCGAGCGAACAGACGAGGAGCUUGCUCCUCUGACGUUAGCGGCGGACGGGUGAGUAACACGUGGAUAACCUACCUAUAAGACUGGGAUAACUUCGGGAAACCGGAGCUAAUACCGGAUAAUAUAUUGAACCGCAUGGUUCAAUAGUGAAAGACGGUUUUGCUGUCACUUAUAGAUGGAUCCGCGCCGCAUUAGCUAGUUGGUAAGGUAACGGCUUACCAAGGCAACGAUGCGUAGCCGACCUGAGAGCGUGAUCGGCCACACUGGAACUGAGACACGGUCCAGACUCCUACGGUAGGCCGCAGUAGGGAAUCUUCCGCAAUGGGCGAAAGCUUGACGGAGCAACGCCGCGUGAGUGAUGAAGGUCUUCGGAUCGUAAAACUCUGUUAUUAGGGAAGAACAAAUGUGUAAGUAACUAUGCACGUCUUGACGGUACCUAAUCAGAAAGCCACGGCUAACUACGUG
rnacentral:rRNA from 1 species